GAUGAACGCUGGCGGCGUGCUUAACACAUGCAAGUCGAACGGAAAGGCUCCUGCUUGCGGGGGUACUCGAGUGCCGAACGGGUGAGUAACACGUGGGUGAUCCGCCCCGCAUUUCGGGAUAAGCCUGGGAAACUGGGUCUAAUACCGGAUAGGACAGUGGUUUGGAUGCCAUUGUGGAAAGUUUUUUCGGUGUGGGGCGAGCUAGCGGCCUAUCAGCUUGUUGGUGGGGUACUGGCCUACCAAGGCGUCGACGGGUAGCACGCCUUGGAGGGUGUGCGGCCGCAUUGAGCCUGAGGGACGGCCCAGGCACGUACGGGAGACAGCAGGUGGAAAGUUUGCACAAGGCGCGCAAGCCGAAUGCAGCGGCGCCGCGGGGGGGAAAACGCCCUUCGGGUUGAAAACCCCGUACCCCAGUGACUGACCGUAUUGUGACGGUACCUAGAGAAAAAGCACCGGCUAACUACGUG
rnacentral:rRNA from 1 species